rnacentral:rRNA from 1 species
UACGUAGGGGCUAGCGUUAUCCGGAAUUACUGGGCGUAAAGGAUGCGUAGGCGGUCUUUCAAGCCAGAAGUGAAAGGCUACGGCUCAACCGUAGUAAGCUUUUGGAACUGUAAGACUUGAGUGCAGGAGAGGAGAGUGGAAUUCCUAGUGUAGCGGUGAAAUGCGUAGAUAUUAGGAGGAACACCAGUAGCGAAGGCGGCUCUCUGGACUGUAACUGACGCUGAGGCACGAAAGCGUGGGUAGCAAACAGGAUUAGAUACCCGGGUAGUCCCU